UACGGGGGGGGGCAAGCGUUGUUCGGAAUUACUGGGCGUAAAGGGCUCGUAGGCGGCCAACUAAGUCGGAUGUGAAAUCCCCAGGCUUAACCUGGGAACUGCAUCCGAUACUGGAUGGCUUGAAUCCGGGAGAGGGAUGCAGAAUUCCAGGUGUAGCGGUGAAAGUGCGUAGAUAUCGUGAAGAAGGCCUGUGGCGAAAGCAAGAUUCUGGGUGACGACUGACGCUGAGGCACGAAAGCCAGGGGAGGCAAACGGG
rnacentral:rRNA from 1 species